CCCGCUGAACUUAAGCAUAUCAAUAAGCGGAGGAAAAGAAACUAACAAGGAUUCCCCUAGUAACUGCGAGUGAAGCGGGAAAAGCUCAAAUUUAAAAUCUGGCGGUUCCACCGUCCGAGUUGUAAUUUAGAGAAGUGCUAUCCGCGCUGGACCGUGUACAAGUCUCCUGGAAUGGAGCGUCAUAGAGGGUGAGAAUCCCGUCUUUGACACGGACUGCCAGGGCAUUGUGAUGCGCUCUCAAAGAGUCGAGUUGUUUGGGAUUGCAGCUCAAAAUGGGUGGUAAAUUCCAUCUAAAGCUAAAUAUUGGGGAGAGACCGAUAGCGAACAAGUACCGUGAGGGAAAGAUGAAAAGAACUUUGGAAAGAGAGUUAAACAGUACGUGAAAUUGCUGAAAGGGAAACGCUUGAAGUCAGUCGCGUUGUUCGGGAUUCAGCUUCAGCUUCUGCUAGGUGGAUUUCCUGUUCGACGGGUCAGCAUCAGUUUUGGCCGGUGGAUAAAGGUUCAGAGAAUGUGGCAUCCUCGGAUGUGUUAUAGCUCUGGGUCGCAUACAUCGGCUGGGACUGAGGAACUCAGCACGCCGCAAGGCCAGGUUUCGACCAUGUUCGUGCUUAGGAUGCUGGCAUAAUGGCUUUAAUCGACCCGUCUUGAAACACGG
rnacentral:rRNA from 1 species